CAGUCGUACCUUCGGGUAAUCAGCCUUUCGGGUGUGUUUUUGUGGAGCGCGAGGAGUUAAACGCCUUCAUGCCUGUAUAUUCGUGCACUUUGGGUGUACUUGCCCGUGUGGUAGGUUAACAUCAAUUUUGGACGCCAUAAAAUGGCUGGAGGAAUGUAGCUUCGAUCUCGUAUUGAAGUGUUAUAGCCUUCGGUAGAUGUGGUUUUUGAGAUUGAGGAUUGCAACGGAUACCCUUCGGGGCUACCUAUCUGAUCUCUG
rnacentral:rRNA from 1 species